ACUGAGCUCCAUCUCAGCCCCUUUGCUGUGUUCCAAAGGGCUUGCUCUAUGGCUCCACCCCUUACUGGGGGAAGAAUUCUCUCCUCCCCUGAACUGCACCUGCCCCGUGUCAGAAGUCAACUACAUGUUCUUUCUUUCUAGACUGCUCUGCUGACCUGUUUAUCUUUUUGCCAAUUCUAUACCUUCUGAAUGACUGGUUUUAUGAAAUGUACGUGAAAAUCUCACAAGUAACCCGGGCAGCACUGUGUGCUUUGUAAAAAGGAUGGAUUGUGCACCAGGAGGGUUCCAUGGAACCAGAUAAGAUAAAAUGAAGCUGGAACUGUUGCUCAUACAGAAACAAAUUCCAAAUGGAAGCUGAGUAAGGUGGCAAGUGCUUCUAAUCCCAGCCCUCCGGAGGCUGAGGCAGGACAACAGCUGUGAGUUCGAGGCCAGCCUGAACUACAUCGUGAGAUCCUGUUUCCAAAACAAAAACAAAGCUGCCAUGUCCUGUGCAGCUUUCAAAACUGGGAGGAGGUAGGACAAGAGGAUGGAGAAAUAAAGGUGAAAGCUAUUGCCAGUAAAGAGUACAUUGUUUAUCAUGGGCAGCCCAAAACUCUGAGGCCAACUUCAGGCCAGUCCUGACAUCUGGAAAGAAAGAAUUUCUCAAGCAGGAUCAGGAGACCCUCUCUUUGAACUGUGUGAGUCAGGACAAUGGGGAGGAAGCAGGCGCGGGAUGGAUCAGUCAGAAGUUUUUGUCUCACUUUCCCUCUGGCUGCAGUCACUGUGGGUUAUACAAAGCUACUGUCACUGCCGUGGUUCACUCCGCAGUAGUAGACAUUCUCAACUUCUUCUUGGAUGUUCUGGAUGGUCAGGUACUGAUCCAAGCCAGAGCCUGAUCCUGAGACUCGGUCAGGGAUUCCAUUCCCCUUAUUCCACAAUACCACUAGUACCCACUCGUAUCACAAACUGAGCUCCCCCCCCCCCGGCUCUGCUGGAACCAGUCCACAUAGUAAUUACUGUAGCCACUGCUCAGGGUACAGGUGAGUUUGUGUGUCUGUCCCAGGGAGGCAAAUGCAGCAGGCAGCUGAGUCAGCACAACCUGGGAGAGAGACCCUGGAAACACAGACCUCCAUUAAGAAUCCCAUUGGGAGACAGGAGAAUUCUUCUAGGAGCAAGGACAGGGCUGGUGUGUGGGUGUGGGCAACAAUGGUCUGUAUGAGGCAGUGACCAUUUGUCCCAUCUGACCUGUGAAGAGAGUGGUGAUGGUGAAGGAGAGAGGAGCCCAGGCCAUGUGGAGAUGCCCCAAUGCUGAGUCCUUUAGCCCCGAACCUGAGACAGGGGUCUCAAGCCUUUUAUCCUCCUGGUUUAUUACUAGUCAGGGUCUAGUUCCCCAUGCAAAUCUUCUUCUCCUUACCAAAGUUAGUAUUAAGAAGGGUGGUGGUGACUAAAACAGAGAAUUUACAUGGAUUUGGUUUCAUAUAGAUUGCCUCUCUCUGGCGACCAGACAUUAACUAUCACCUUUUUGACUCAUAAACCUGUCUUGGUCCCUUAACCACAACCUUUAAGCGGGGUCCAUUUCUGAUAUUUCGUGUCUUUGCCACAAUUAUUUUGCUCCUCUGGUGGCCGGCAGUGGGAUGCGGUGGCUCUAUCAGCUAAUUCUGGAACCUGUCCAUGGUAUCCUUCCCAAUUUGAUCUUAAAUGGCAAGGUCUUGAAACCAUUACUCAGUAAAAACUGUGAUAUGAUCGCUUUGGAUCAGAGCUCAUCCUUGACUCUGGGAGGGGAGGAGAGGAGAGGAAACCACAGGAGAGGAGAGGAGAGAAGACCAGGGGAGACCAGAGGAGACCAGAGGAGACCAGAGGAGACCAGAGGAGAGGAGAGAACAGAACAGAACAGAAGAGGACUCAGCUCCUGCUCAGUGUAUAUUUGGUUCUCUGGAGACCUCUGGUCACAUCAUCAGCUAAUGCUGAGUGUUGCCCAUGGUUGUCUCUGAUGACUCCCAGGGAAACGCCCAGCAACUCACCCACAGGAAAGACGUUUACUCUAGUUAAUGUGAUUGUAGAAUUUGGACCUGAGAAAUGAGAAUGUAAAAAGUUAAAAAGCUUUAAAAACAAUAAGCUUUUUAUGGCUUUUUGUUCCAUAUUUGAGUUUACCUUGAUGAAGUCCUUUUGACUAACUCGCUGUGGUGAACUCACUACCACUACAAAGGAAAUAAAUAUCAGUUAUGUCUUGAUAUUGUAACUUGCUUACUGUUUUUUGAUCCUGAUAUUUUCCCUUUCUUCAGAUAUCUAUAACUUAGAAAUAUGUUUUCAGGAAAUAUGUUACGAGUGAAAAUAAGGAAUGAACCAUGUAGCACGAGAUAGAUGAUGGAACACUGAGUAGGAUUCAUCUUUCCUCCUGCUGCUCUCAGAUUCUAGGUUAAAGCCCAGUGGAGACGUGUGCACUGUACUCCAGACCUGGUCUGUGAUUUCAUCUGGCUGUGUCCCCAAUCACAGCAAAGCUGGUCCACUUUGUGGAAAUAACUCUUAAGUGACUGAGCUACGUUAGGGUAAGGGGUGAUCUCUCACAUGAAGAUCAGCUUGCAGGCUGUGUAGGGACCUUCCUCCAUGUUGGAGCUGCCACAGUGGCUUCUGUAGCAUUGGGCAGGUUUUAUUAAGUACACUGUGAAACACGGAUUAUUCUGUUGCUAAAACGGGUGCAUAUGUAGUUUAUUGUGAAUGCACAUCUAUUGUGUGAAGGACUUUGAAAAUGAGAGUGAGAAUCAAUAUCUAAAAUAAAGGCUACGACAAAUUUCCCAGACUCAUUUAAGUUUUGGUGUAGGAAUAUAUCUCAGGUAGAGUCUGGGGGACUUUUCUCAACAUCCUUCAGGUUCUUGACAACACACCCACACUGCCAUCUGGUGGGAGGAAAAAUAUUCCAUCACCCUGGCAGGGAUGAAAGCCAGAGAGGCAGAGUUCAGUGCUGGUAUUUCCAAACAACACUGAUUUUGAAUUGUGGUUCUGAAUUGUGAGUUUAUGGCCCGAGCAUGGAUUUGUCGUGAGAGCUGGUUAGGAAAGAGAGCUUUAGGAGGUGAGGCUCAGAUGUAAAUACAUCUAAGAGGAAGAAGAUCUAUCUGAUAUUACUGGAGAAAAAAAUAUUAUUGUCUGUAGUUACUCUCAUUUUACUAAAGAUGACUUCCAUAAAAUCUAUUUUUAAUGUAAAAGUAAUAAUAGUUGAACUAUUACAAAUUAGAAUAGUGAUCCAUCCUAAUGUUUUCCUAAGCUGUCAUAAAAUGAGAUCACAGACUGGAUGACUGUAACAGCAGAAGUUUACUUUUUCAUAGUUCUGGAGGCCGGAGCCCAGAUCAAGGUGGUCGCAGGUUUGCUUCCUCUCAGAUCCUCAUUUCUUGGCUUAUUGAUGACCAACAUCUCUCCGUGUCUUCAAAUGGCCUUUCCACAGUCUGUGUUCUCUGUGCUACUAUUUCGUCUAAUGAUACUGUUUCAUUAAACUAAGCCUCCACUUUUAGUGUCUCAUUGAAUCAGUAUUAUUUCUUUUAAGCGUUUGUCAGCAAAGUAAGCUUAAAUCCUGGGGGUUUUAGAAAAGAAUUCUAGAAGACAAAAUUUAGUCAGUAACACUCUGUGCAGGAACCAGCCUGCGAACUGCCCUUGGUGGUACAAUGAAGAAUUAAAGAGAAAGAGACAGACUUAAAAUCAAGGGGGACCAGGGACCCCCAUCUCUAAAGGGCAAGCACUCUGAGAGUCUGAAAAUAUCCUGUAUUUGUUAGUAAAACAAGACAAUGUAGCAAUCACUUAACCCAAAGUUCAAGAUACUAAAUGUUUAACAAGGAAUAUAACAACUUCAUAUCCAGAUACAUAAUUUUUUGUUGAGCCUUGGAAGUCCAUGUUGUUCUGCAUGAGGGGUUUAUAAUCCUUUUUUGUUUUUUAAAAAUAAAAUAAAAAAUAAACAAUAACAACAGUGACAAUUUCAGAACAAAAUAAUUGGAAAUUAACACUAGUUAAUAUAUUUCACAUUACCUUUAGAGUAGUUGUUCAGAUUACAAGAUUUACACAUAAGAAAAAUCAAAUAAAUAAUGAAAGCACACACUGUUCUUUCUGAGGUAGCAACAGAGAUUAGUAGUAUAAUUAUCUAUCUUGUAUAUGUGCCACACACACAUGUAUGUAGACAUAUACAAACUCAGACUCGCAUUUGUGAACAUCUUAUUGAUUUUCUAGUAUAAAAAACUGAAAGAGUAAAUGAGCCUCAAAAUGUUCAAUAGAUAUUGUGGAAAGGAAAGGGAAAGCAAGUGCUCAGAAGGAAAAAACAACUGGGAUAUGGGAAAGGAAAAAAAGAUCAAAGAUGCUGUUACUUUUUGAAUGCAUGAAAUAAAAUUUUGUAUGAGAGAAGUCAGCUUCUAAGGAUGUUAAAUCAAAUAAACUUGAUGUCAGUACUUGCAAAUACAUACUUACUGAAUGCCAGUAUUUAGAGACAGAAAGAAGAAUGUCUUUGCACUUCAUAUACAUAGUAGAUUACAUAGUAGAACAAACACAAGAAAUAAAUUUUGUGAUAUACUUUGGACCAUCACCACAUAUACUUGCUAUGGUAAGAUCCUGACAGUUUCUAGGUAGCUCUUGAGAAGGUCAGAAUGCAAAAGUUUGAAUAUUCAGGGCAUCAAACAUUAUUUCUGAAUGCUGUGUGGCCUUGUUAAGUCCCACUUCCCCAUUCAUCUGUAUCAUUGUGUUUUAACAUUAUGGCCCACCAAUGUUCUAAUCUACACUAAUGAUAGAGUCAGCUUUAUCCCCAGAAAUGAUGCUGCAGAUGGUCAAGUAAGGACAGUCCCAGAGCCAGAGCCCAAGAAGUGAUUGGGAUUCCAUCCUCUUAUUGAAGCUUCCAUCUCUCUUAACCCUUGAGGGAGGAACCUUGCCUGGGCACUGCUGAAACCAUGCGAUGCCACAGGCUUUGUGCUCACUGCUCAGGGUGCACGUGAGUCAAGUCCCAGUGCUCUGCCCUGUCAGUUCUUGCCAUACAGCUGUGCAGGAGCACAGCGCAGUGCUUUCACAGUCCCACAAUAAUAAAUACAAAGAGCUGUGAUUUGGGUCUCUGGCAGGGUAACCAUGAGCCUAUUCCUAGGACCCAAACAGAUAAACAAACAAAAACUACAUCAUACUAUUAAGUGAUCCUGACAAUGAGAUUAGCCUAGAACUAUAAUAAAGUUCUAGAAACUUGCUGGACAGUAACUCCAGAAAUAUGUCAUCCCACACAUAGUUCUGGAGGUCAGUAAUCUAGCGCCCACAGACAGGGCCAUGUUCCCCAUGAUACCUCUAGGAGACUCCUUUCUCCCCCUUCCUGAGUCCUACUUGUGUUGGUCUUUGGUGCCCCUUCACCUACUGACGCAUAAGGUCAGCCUCCUUCUCUGUUUUCACAUGAUAUCCUAUAUAUGUAUCCCUGUCUCCCCAGGGCAUCUGCUUAUGGCGACUCCAGACAUAAUGUAAUCAAUAAUAGUUUCUCUAAUAUCACCUCAUCUUACUGACAUCAGAGAUCAGUUUAUGUGAUUCUUGACAGUAGCCUCCCAUCAUGCUUCUAUAGGGAGAGUUUUUGCCACAUAACAUUAAAAAAACAAGAUUUUUUCCCAAAUUUUCAUAGGUUUUAAUAUUUUAAAGUUGUUAUCCCCUUGUUUUGAAAGCCUAUGUUGUUAUAGUUCUGGGCUCUAUCUUAUUGUUAUUUGUCUCUCCUGUUUCUGGUUUUUAUUGCAUUUUGUUUUGCUUCAUUUUGUUGUUUCCUGUAAUAUGGAAAGUAUGUAUGUCCAUAUACAGGCUGAAACAUGCUUGAAGUACUGCUAAUGAAUUUACAAGAAUUGAUUUUUUACAUUUCAUGGUAUGAAUAGCUACUUUGAAAAAAAACGAGACAUUAAGGUAGCCAUUCCUGAUUUCCUACCAUCUUGUUUUGAAGUCCACUAAUCCUUUUAUUCUUUGUUUCCAUUAUUUUUGGUCUGUUUUCUGUUAUUUGAUUUCAAUAUGUGUGAAAUGUUUUCUGUUAUUUGAUUUCAAUAUGUGUGAAGGUAUGUACAGCUAUUUAGAAGAAAACAAGAGGCAUUAUGUUAGCCAUUGUUGAUUUUAUAUUGUCUUGAAGGCCCAUAAGGCUUUUAUUCCUUUUUUUUAUUGGUUUUAUACUAUUUUUUGUUUGAAUUUAUUGUGUGUGUGUAGGUAAGGACAACUCUUUUGAAGAAAAACAAGAUAUAUUAUGGUAGCCACUGUUGAUUUUUUGUUGCAUUGUUUUGAAGACCUAUGUUCCUUACAUGAUCUGCUUUUUGUUUGAUUGUCUUAAAAAUUAUUUUUAAAAGUCAUGCAAUGCCUUUGUAGUAAAAUGAAAACUAAUAAAAUGUAAUUUAUAUCAAUGUCUUAAAUAUGGUAGUUUAGUUUUCUUUUCUCUUAGAUGUUAAAAAGAACACUAUGGAAGCAGCUUUUAAAUAGAGAAAAUAGUGACUUCAGUCUUCAGAUCUUAAAGCACAAUCACUGUACUUCUAGGAAAGAAAAAUAACUGAAUUCUGUUUUUGUAUGAAAGAUGUCACAUGGAACAAUUCAUGCAUAUCCUUCGCUAUGGUACUGGAACAUGAAUCAGCAUCAAUAAAGACACUUUUCUACAACUUUCUCGUCACAAAAGGUCUACAGGAGUCUGCCAGAGUGUGUAUAGUGCAGUCACUUCAUCAACUUUG